GGAACCUACAAAUAUGCUAUUUUAGGCAAAAGGGACUUUGCAGCUGUGAUUAAAUUAAGGCUCUGGAGAUGGGGAGAUUAUUCUGGAUUAUGUAGGUGGACUCAAUGUAAUCACAGGGUCCUUAUAAGAAGUAGACAAGAAGGUGAAACACAGAAGGUGAUGUGACCAUGGGAGCAGAGGAACAGAAGGAGACUGGACGAUGCUACAUUGCUGGCUUUGGAGGCAGAGGAAGGAGCCAUGGGACAAGGAAUACAGGGAGCCUCUAAAACUGGAAGUUAGAAAGCAGAUUUUCCCCUAGAGCCUCCUGAAGGAGCUGGCCGAGUGUUAGCCCAAAAAAACUGGGUCUGUACUUCUGAUCUUUGGAACUUUAAGAGAAUAGCUUUGCAUUGUUUUAAGUCCUGAGUUUGUGGUACUUUGUUACAAAAGCGAUAGGAAACGAAUAUACUUGUUGCAUCUCUUGUGUCUAGUAUUGGGCUUGGUAUAUGACAUGGACUCGGAAAGUAGUAUUUAUUGAAUGCAGUGAAAAUAUAAAGGAAAGAUGUUAUGAGAAUGGAACGUACCAAAUUCAUGGCAACUUUUAAAAUUUUUAUUUAUUUAUUUAUUUUUUGAGACAGAAUCUCGCUCUGUCGCCCUCGUGGCAACUUUUUCUGAUUUAAAAAGUUCUCUUUCUUAGGAUGAAAGGAACAUUCCUUUAAGGCUCAGAAGAGUGUACAGCUACCCAGAUAUCCAUGGCAAGGCCCCAGCGGUUACAUAGUUGUAUUUUAGCCCUUCAGGCCUAGCAAGCUCUUUCCUGGGAGCAAGUAAAGGAGACCAUAGGCCAUGAUAAACAGCACUUAGUGGCCAGUUGCUUUAAGAAUACCUGUUUAGUGUUUCCAGAGACUCAAAGCUCCAGGGAGACAAGCAGGAAGGAGGGGCAGUGUCAAAUACUGUACAAUACAAUUAGCAAAUACCAGCACCUUGACGAAUGUUUGGUAUACAGUAGGCAGUCAGAAAGUAAACGCUAGCAUGCAUGACAUUCAGAGCGUGUGACCUCUUUCUCCUAAAGCUUCCUACGGUAGAAGUCAGUCUCCUACUACUUCUACCUUCUCUAUCUCCUUGGAUGUUUGUUUUCAUCAGAUUUUACUCAUAUCUGCUGAACAAGAGCAAAGGGGAGUACCUUUCAACCUCAGAUACGGACACAUGUAUUUGUCAACAGGCCACACAUAUUCUGGGUACAGGGACUGCAGACCAUAGCAACGUACCUCACCUUUUCUGAGACCCUCUCCCUUGUUCAGUAUUUGUAAGCCUUUUAAUUUAAAGAAAAAUAAAUGAGGCCAUGCUAGCUGAUUAAAGAAUAAUUCCAAGGAAUUUAACACUUAGUGAUUAUAUUAGUGAUAUAUAGUAACUUCUCACUUUGGAUUCUUUUAGAUGUAUUACAGAGGUAAAAAUCAAUAUUUUCUACCAAACUGGAGAAAUUGAGAUGAUCUAUUUUUGACAUAUGGGUUCAGAGAAAAAUUAAUGAUACAGACUGGAAUAACUCUAGUUCCCCCAAGUCAACAUCUGAUUGACCCUUAGAAUCAGAAUUUAGGAAGAGGGAGGUUUAGGGGAUCAUGCAGUCCUGCCUCCUCACUCUACAGAUAAGGAAACCAGGCCUAGCUGGAAUUUCCCCCAUAUCACACAGCCAGAAAACAGCAGGCUCAAAAGUAGGGCCUUCGGAGUCCCCAAUGCGGCAUGCAUAUGUGUCUGCCUUGUUUCAUUGUGUAGGUACAGCGAGUUUGGAGGCAUACAAAAACAGAUAGACACCAAUCUUGCCUUCAAGGCGUUUACAGUCUAGCGGGGGAGAUAACACACGUAUAUAAAAAAAUUACUAGACAAAGUAAACAGCACUAUGCUCUACAAGACAGGUAUGGAUUAAGAAGGAAUCUUUUAGUCAUCGUCCCCCGAGAUUCUGUGUUUCAUUUUUUAAAACAAUAGUAAUCCAACUUGUGAAAUAGUGAACUUCCUCCAUUUUGCAAGAUUCCUCGAAACCAAGUACUUGGAAUAUAACUUAGUUAAGGAUUGCACAACACACACUAUUUGAGUAUCUGAUUUGGAAAACGAAGCCACAGAGCCAGACCACACAAUGCACAUUGGUUGGAAUCUGCUGGGCAGGUAUCUCCCCGUCGGUCCAGGCAAGCCAAAUCAAAUAAGGCACUGAGUUAAAAAGGAAGGCAAAGUAAAGGAUAAAUCUGUUGACCACCACUCCAGGAGGCCAAGGCCUCUUUCCUCCCCAUUAGUGGUGGCUUUUGCUCUAAAAUAAAAAUACCACACUUAAGCUGUGAUAGAGGAAAGCCCUUGGUUUGGGACCCGACUACAAAGUAACAGCAAAAGAGAGAAUUAUUACUCCUUAGUGACUCUCUUCGUGGUAUAAUGAGAAGAAUAGAAAGACCAUUGAAGAGUGGGAUUUGGGAGAAAUUUGGGUCAUGUGUCUGCAGCACUAGUUGCUUGCAGAAUUGGCCAUGUGGGUUGGCACACAGCACCGUGAAUAUUACAAACCACAAAUCUCCAGGGUUUCUUGAACAAAGUAAAAGGCCUUGUCUUCAGAAUGCCAGGUUGCCGGCUGGCUUUUAAAAGAAGCCCCUGGGUGAGCUCUAAAGCUACCUACGCAUUUCUGCCUUCUCCGUCUCUUUCUUCUCCGCCUCCUCUCCCUCUCCCCCUCCCUCUCCUCUCAUUUUGGAUAUCGCAUCUUGGUGGGUCUAACUGUAGCUCUGCUUCUGCCAAUACCCCCCUGCCCCACCCCGUCGGGAAGCAGGCCCUCUCCAUGACAACUACCAACACAGAAUCCACAGAGCUCUGGACAAUGGGACAAACCAUAUUCCUAUGAACAAAACCAAGGAAUCUGACGGACAAGAGAAUCCAGAGUCUGUGCAAUGGGCAGAAGAGAGGACCGAACUUUAUGGUUGAUUCCCCAUAGACCACACCAACAGGGCAAAGCCCUUCUGUACGUAUUUCUAUUUUCACACGUAUCUGCACAACCAUGUGUUUAGAAAUCAGAGGGUUGCUAUUUGUAAAACUCUUGAAAAACCCUCUUUUAAAUUGGAAAAAUUAUUUUAUAAAUGCCAACCCAAUCUGCUUUAUCUCAGUGAGCUGCUAUUAAGUGCAAAGAAGAUAACAUGUUACAGGUGAGUCUGUGCUUAAAGAGCUUUGACCACAAAGGCUAAACAGGGUCCAUUCUCCCAUGUGAAGAAAAAUGUUUCCAUUUCAAUUGUGAUGUUUGGAAUUUCAGCUUAAAGUACAAAAAAGGCACUGUCUCUUUAGUGCCUUUUGGAAAGAAGUGGAAUCAUCUGGCCAAGUGUUUCCUCCUUUCUACCUAGACUGUCAUUUGAGUACAUUGACCCCUCCCUGACAGAAAGUCUGUGUAAGCCCGAGGAGGAGGAACAUGCCGCAAACCCGCUGCAGAGCAUUAACAAGAACAGAAUUAAAAAGGAUCACUUCUGGGACUCAUCACACAACUUGGAAAUGGUGUUCAAUAAAAGAAAAGAUAAUUUGGAGCCACACUACCUGGAACGAACAUCUGACACGCAGCCACUGGUCUGGAUUUAGAAAACCGCUUUCAUCCCCAGAGGGUAGAUUGUUAAUGAGUGUUUUAAAGGGCAAGAUUGAGGAAGCACGAUAGAGUUGAAAAGGUACUGGUUUUGAAGGGUCCUAGUCUUGCUUCCACUUCUGUAAGCAAGUCGAACCGACUUUGAACAAGACACCUUACACUGCCCUGAGAAAAUGUCCUCAUCUCUAACACGGGAGGUGAAGUUAACCCUCUAGACCAUCCAACACUCAGAUCUAGGCCUUAAUGACUAUGAAAACGGGAAAAAUUUUAAAAUAAGAGCAGGUAAUGCUCGCACCUUUUCGCUACCCGAAAGGAAGGUAAAACAACCUUAUUAUAAAAGGCAACUUUUCUUACUCGUAUGCUAACAAUCAAUGCAUAAUUUACAUAGCAAUGCAUACACUUUAUAUUGUUCGAGAGAUCAUUAUUGACUGCCUGAAUUUGAUAUGCUCAUCCUUGUCGCGUCCUUCUCACUAAAUACUAAUUACCCAAAGUGAUCAAACCCCAGAUGUAAAAAAAAAUCAUCUUAUAAAUCACAGACAAGGAGGUAAAAAAAGAACUCAGUCAAACAUUUUUGAGUUCAUACAAAAAUGGAAUAGCAUAAUCUACCAGUAUGUUCCCAUCCCCCAGCUAAAGCAAUAUUUUAUCACUCUGACUUUAUCUAUUCCCAGUCCUCCCCAACGUACUUAUUUUCUGGAGCAUUUUAAAGUAAAUCUUCCAUAUCUUGUCAUUUCAUCCAUAACUACUUCAGUCAGUGAAGUAGGAUUUUUAGAAAACUACUACCAUGACAGCAUUACACCUGACAAUAUUAAAAAAUUAUUUACUAUCAUCUAAAGAACCAAUCAAUAUUCAAAUUUCAUCAAUCAUGUAAAGUUUUUUUUUCUUUCAGUUUUUGACUUGAAUCAGGGUCUAAACAAGCUAAGAGGUGAAACUGAUCUCACCCAAUUUACAAUCCUUUGUCUUUUACAUAUUUAGUUUAGAUGCUAACAUGACUUAGACACAACGUAUCUGAAACACAGAUAAUAUGAAGGUCAGCUUCAUCACAAUGUUAUUUGAAAUGUCUUAUUCUAUGAAUCAGAUAUAAAUGUAGUUAAAGGCUCAGAACUGGAAGAAUCUCAAGUAAUUCUCACAGUUUUCCCAAAUGCAUAAAUGAUUUAGGCAACCUUAAUGGAAUGCUUUAAAGAUAUUUUGCUAAAUCUUACACCAUUCCUAGGAAGAACACCUCUGACAGACUCUAGCAGCUUUUAUUUUGCCCAUAUAAAAAAGCUGGAUUUCUUAGACCGUGGAGCAGCCUAAUAGCAUAGGUAGCAUUUUCAAUUGUAGCUUCACCGGCACCUUAAGAAGAAAUCUACCUGGACAUGGCGGCAACGAGGCCAUCUUUGAAAACAGCUGAGAGCCUCAAACUGUCAACUCUGACUUUUGGGAAGAAGGGAGGUGAACAGUUUCUCCAUUCAGCCUCCCUGAGGCCUCUCUGGUAACACACAGGCACUGCCGUGACUCAUAACCAGAAAUACUGUUUUAUAACACCAGUCUGUGUUUUGUAACACGCACUGAAAGAAAAAAAAAAAAAAAAAAACUGUUUAGAAACCAAAACCAAGCCCUGCAUCUGGGCAUUGGUAUGAAGAUCUCAAGAGGUCAGAGUGGCUAUUUAAUCCAGAUAAAGUAGGCAAGGCCUUAUCCCUUUCCUUGGCAAGAAAGUGGAGGCUUCCUGCCUGCUGCACAUGCCCACAGGAGGAGCAACCAUGAAUUUAAUUUUCUUAAAACAGAAGCAUUUUCAGACUUGUGUUUUCCUGGACAGCUGCCUAGUGGCUGUAAUCCAUAAUAAGGGCGUGUAAUUGACAGUAAUGUGAAUCACUCACUGAAAUUCUGGCAAAAAAAAAAAAAAAAAAAAAUAGAGAGAGGUUUUUUUUUUU